GUUGCCAACCCGCAAGGGGGAGACUAAUCCCAUCAAAGCCGGUCCAAGUUAGGAAUAGGAGUCUGCAACUGGACUCCAGAAAGCUGGAAUCGCUAGUAAUCACGGAUCAGAACGCCGUGGUGAAUACGUUCCCGGGCCUUGUACACACCGCCCGUCGCACCACGAAAGCUAUUUAUACCAGAAGCCGGUGAGCUAACCGCAAGGAGGCAGCCGUCCAAGGUAUGGACAGUGAUUGGGGUGAAGUCGUAACAAGGUA
rnacentral:rRNA from 1 species